rnacentral:tRNA from 1 species
AAGAAAGAUAAAAUUGAAGCUGCUAACUUUAAUUAGGGGGUGCAAGUCCUCCCUUUCUUU